GCCGCAUAAACCGAUGGUUUCUAUCAUGUAUUUACAAAGUGUUGGGUGUGUGUGUUUGCGCGCGCGCGCGUCUGUGCAGUAAUAGAAAACAGCUCACCUAAGCAUGAUCCGGACACAUUGUGGCCAUGUGUGAGACACUGCGAUGAAGAAGGGCCUGUUGCCAACCUGGAAAUAGGCUCAACUCACUCCCUAUGUUUAGAGACUCCACAUACCUGAAAAGAACGCGAGCCUGCCUGUAUCCCCUUUCCUGCAGUUUCAUCAAGGCACAUGGAAGUUGGUUUAGACUUGAGAAGAGAUUGAGAGUAUCUGUGAAGAUCCUUUGUGAUUGCUCUGCCAGUUCUGUUAACGUUUCCAUUAUUUGUGCCCGCCCUUUUCAGCUGGUUGCUACCUUGCCUGAGCAUGUUCAGCCCGGGCCUGACUUUUAUGGGCUCCCCUGGAAGCCUGUGUUGUUCACUGCCUGUUUGGGAAUCGUUUCGUUGGCCAUUUUCUUCUGGAGGACGGUCCUUGCUGUCAGGAAGAGAACAUACCAAGUCACUGAACAGCAGAUUGCUGAGAAGCUGAAGAAUACCAUAAAGGACAAUGCAGAACUUGUCCAAAAAGUAUCAAGUUAUAAACAGAAGGUAGAACCUGUUUCACAGCCCCUCCUCUAGGGUGUCUGUGGUGUAGCUCAGUUAUUAUGGUAUUUUGAAGACCUAUGUUCUCACUUCAUCAUUUCCCCCUGAGCCCUCCAGAUCUUACGCACCAUCCUGUAUAAAGUGAACAUUCUGCUCGCUUCCUUGGAACAAGGUUUCUUUUGGUAGCACAGUGACUUCUGUUACUUAGUUCUGCAUGUGUUUUUUACAUAGAUCGAGGAAUUAAAGAAGCUUAUUCUGGAGACAAAGGAAAAAAAUUCUCCUCAAACAAUUAAAUACAAGGCUGAAAUCAAGGUGCUUGAAGAAAGAAAUAAAUUUCUGACGGGUAUUGCCAAAACUGUUGGUGUUAUAUUCAAAUCUGAGAGGAAACCUAACAUGCAAAAUCAGGAUUUGGUGAGUUCUGCUGCUGCAUGUUACUACAGUUGUAUUUUUAGCUAUUUCAUAAAUUAGCUGAAUUGUUCCCAUGCUGUUAACUCCUUAAGAUUAGGAAUAACAGAACAGAACAUGCCUGUACCCAUUUUGAGGGUGUUUUAGUACUAACCCAGUAGGACCUUUUUAUAGGCAUGGGAAGUGUUUUGAUCCUGAAAUUUGGAUAAUUUCAUAGCUGAGUCCUCCAGAACAGACAGAGUCACUAAGAAACUGGUCCAGUUGAGUAGUCUGUGUAAACUGGUUUUAUUUCACAGUAGACUCUGUGCCUUUCGAAUAGUUUUAAAAUCCCCUAAGUGGAAAUGUAGUGAGGAGAGUUCUCAUGCUUCCCGCCUCCUGUGUGGCCUGAUCCUUUGCUCAGCACAGACCAGGUAAGUUGCCCAUUUUCAGUCCUUUGUGCACCAUGCUCUUUGGCGGGAAGUCAUGACACAAAACCUGCAGUUAAUCCCCGGUACCAAUGAAAAGGAAAAAGACAAAAGACAAAAAAAAAAAAAAAAAAAAAAAAGAACGGUGGCUUAGGGUCACCCCUUGAGCCUGGAUUGUCAUAAAUAUUGAGAAAUUCUGCACAUGAGACACUAUCCCCCGAGCCCAGCCACGCCUAGCCAUCGGUGUGCAGAGGAGGAGCUGGGCGGAUCUGGAGUGCCUGCAGAAGCCCCUUAAUUUGUCUGGAGAACUGAAUAUCUCUGCAAGCAGGAGGGAUCGCAGGUUCCUGAGGCACCUCGGCCUGUGGUGAGUGCUCAGCACACUCUGCCCAAAUCUCAGACUGUUCCGGACCCCCCAGGCUUCCGGGUGCAGUGAAGUGGAGCAGCAAGUUAGAGACCACUACAUCGGCCUCCCCAUCCUGGAUGCACUUGGAGGUCUGCUGAGCUUCCAAUGGGUGGGCGGGCCCACACUAUCCCCAGAGCCCAGCCUGUUUUGCUGCUGCGUCUUCCUUUGUCUGGAGGACUGUAGAUAUCUCUGCAAGCAGGGAGGGAUCACAAGCUCCUGAGGCACCGCGGCCUGUGGUGAGUACCCUAACCCAGCUGCGAUUGAAGAGCUGUGGAGCUUCCAAGGGGCAGGUGGGCGCACAGUGUCCCUGAGGCCCAGCUUGUCUGGAACUGCGGAGUUCUGAACAAGCAGAGGAGGGCCACUGGUUCUGUAGGCCCAAUGGCUUGGGGUAGCACGGUGUCAGAGUCUCAGUAGCUCCAAACAUAGAAGGGGAUUUUCAAAAGAUACUGAGGAAGCUUUCAAAUAACACUUGAAACACAGAAAUAUA